UGGGCACUCAACUUCUAAAAGCAUCAGUUGCUCCAAAACUUUCCUCACAUUCUAUGAUUAUUUCAGAUUUAGUCUAGUAGAUCUCAUUCUAGUACAGUGUAGUAAUUGUAAGUCAGAAUGUUUGACAGUAGGCUACUUCAUGAUUUUAAGAUUAUCUUCCUGUAGAAAAUACAGAAACAAAAUAUGCUAAAUUCAUGGUUCUGGGAAGGAGACUGUGUGUUUUGUGGAUUUGUGCAGAGAAAUAUCAACUAAAUCUGAUACCAUCUCAAUGUCAAAUCCGUUUGAGGUGUCCUGGAAGCUUUUCCAGCUGUCUGCUACUCAAUGUGAUCAUUCCUAUAAGUUCCUAUUUCAACCAGCAAGCUAAGUGUCCAUUGACAAUACCAUGCCAAAGAGAGAUAAAGACUUCAGAACUCUCUAACAGGUCCCUGAGAUGAGAACUGAGAAGAAUGGAAGGCUAGAAGAAUGUAGUGAGAGAUGAUGGAGUGGCUAGGAAGCAAUAUUUGCUUUGAGAGGCAACAGUUGAUGCUGAUGGAAUGAUCCAUGUUGGUCAUCAGAGAGCAUGUUCAAAAAAUGUGGGCUUUUUGGUUCUCUUCUCACUCCUGACUUAAACUCAUAUGAUAUCUGAGCUGUUUUGAACAUCCUUUUGUGAAAUACCCUCAGGAAACUCGUCGCUUUUUGACUAAACAAUAGAACCACCACCUUUGGGUGCUGGGAUGGAAACUGAACGCUCACUAAGUGGUACCACUGUUUGCUCACAAGGCUGUGUGUUAAUGAAGGUGAGACUGAGUGAUUUCCCAUGUAUAGUGAUCACUUACAAACUGCUUUAACUUCUUUCUUGUAAGCUUGUUUCUGUAGUAGCAUGCUGACCAAAAGAGCAGGGUGUUUUUUGGAGGCAUUGUGUGGGUGGCAAUGUCUUCUUGCAGCUGAAGAAAUAUUUGAAUUCCCAGGUGGAGCAUCUUUCCUUUAAGAAAUUUGAGCCUUCGAACUUAAGGCUUGUUUUGUUACCAAUGACUUUUGCUAGCUUCCAGCUUCCUGUUUUCCAGCUGUGGCACUGUUGUGUAUUACACAGACACAGUCCAAUGCCUAAGGCAUUUACAGACCUACUAUAAAGCCACUAAAAAGAGGCUUCUAUAUAAUUACUGCUUUCCACAGUUUGUUAACCUGAGAUUUCAAUGUUUUGUUGAAUAAUUAAAUCUCCAGUUUCUGAAUGUGUGAGUGUCAGUAUCCUCCUAAAACAGAAGAAAUGGAGGUGGGAGUUAGGCAGUAUGUCCAGUUUCUCCAUAUGGAAAAUGAAUAAGAUGAAACAGAGAGGAGCAUGACAUUUAUGCUUUGGAUUUAAAGCAAUGAUCACAGACCUGAGCAUUCUUUGUAAAUGUCACUGAAUAAGCAUUUCGUAACAAUUUAAAGUAAUUUGAAGUAUUUGUUUGAUGGCUUUUAUGGGGAAAAAAUAUGUAAAGAGACUACAGUGCUUCUGUAUAGAAAAAAGACCAGAAUUAAAAAUAAAAAUCUCUAGGAUGUUCAAGUUUAAUCAUGGAAUCAUAGAAUGGCUUGGAUUGGAAAGGACCUCCAGGAUCAUAAAGCACCAACCUCCCUCCAACACGCAGGGCCACCAACCUCCACAUUUCAUACCAGCCCAGGCUGCCCCGGGCCCCAUCCAACCUGGCCUUGAACACCUCCAGGGAUGGACGGGGCAUCCACAGCCUCUCUGGGCAGCUGUUCCAGCACCUCACCACUCUCAUAGAGUAGUGACAUCCAACCUCAGUCUUCCCUCCUUAAUCUUCCCCUUAAUGACUGUGACUUAAAACGUUAGUUCUCUUACUUUUCUUACAAGAAAUGCUUUUCUUUAGAAUUUUUAGACCAACAGAUACUAAAAAAUGCAUUUGAUAAUGGCUAAGGAGUCCAUUAUCUAUUUGGUUUCCCAUUUCAUUGCUGACACAAUAGAUGUAAGUUGUCUAAUUACACUGAAGUUUCCCAAAGUAUAUGACGGCUCAGUCUGUAGAGCAUGCAAACGGUAUGUUAGCAAUUUUCAUUUGUUUCUUACGAGUUUCUGAAGAUCACUUUUGAAUAGGUUUUCUUUGGCAUGCAGACUUGAGAGAGGGAAAGAGAACAGAAGGGAGCACAGAAUUGUGAAGUGGAGUGUGAUGAUGGUGAUCAAAUCUCCACAUGGAGAUGGACCAAAUCUGCAAUCUCCAUAACUUAGAAAGUUAAGGAAAUCCAGGGGGUUCUUCCAUCUGCAAAGGAAACAGCCACUGCUGCCGGUGGUUUCAUAGCUUAAAGGUUGAACUCGAGUGAAAAUGUUUGGAUUAUGGAGGGAGAGAAAGGAAGACAAAUGCUGUGUAUAACCUCACGGAAGGAAGACUUUAUGUUGUUCUCUUUCUGAUGAACAGAGGGUUUUGUCUUUUACCAAUUGUACUGUUAGCUACAGAUGACUGUCAUGGGGCUGCUUUGGUUUUGUGAGGCAGAAAUUGGGUUAGAUGAAUUUGAUCAAAUUUAGAGACUUAAAACACCUGCAAUUAAUAGUGUAAGAAAGGUUUGUACAGAAGCAAACUAAAAAGAAAAGGAAAAGUAUGAAAGUGAAUCAAAUAGUGAUUAGCUAAUGGAAGAGGUAAUAAAACAUCCAUGAGUAUAAAUACAUCUGUAUUCUUAGCUGACCUCAGAAAAUCAGAUAAGCAUUAUUGCCAACACUACACUUAAACAUAGAUGAGGUUCUAUAUUAAUUCAGUCAUUAAAAUUUUGAAUUUCUUAUGUAAAGAUUGCUUGGAUAAUUGUCUUUGAUGGUAAGAGAUCUUGUAGAGCUUCAUGCCCUGAAUUCCAGCAGUGAGCUGACAUCUCUUGGAAGAAUCCUACCAGCCUUCCCAUUGAACCACUUGGCAAGAUGAUGACAACAGGAUGUAAUUUUAAAGACCUAUUGCUUUUAACUGUGAUGGCUGUGGGGUCAUUUUCACCCAAAGAAGAUGGUGGAAAGACCUAGAGAUGGUUGGAAGAAGAUAGACAAAGUAUGCAGCAAGUGAAAAAGCAGAGAAACACCACACUUGUGAACACAAAGAAUUUAGCAUGGCUUAAGAACGGUUUAGGUAGAAAAGGUGCAGCUGAAGGAUGACAUGAAACCAAGCCACCAGAGAAUCUGGGGAAGUUCAUAACAAACGAAGUAAUGAAAACAUUCUGACCUCCCCCAAACGAUCUGUCUCCAAAACAAAUGACAGGAAACACACUGUGGUACAGCACAUUCUGGGCAAACCUCUCGCUUCUUGUUUUUGAAGAGCUUGGGAGAGAAAAAUACUUCUUUGUAGUAGUAUUUUUCAGCUUUUUGCUACCCAUGAAUUAAUUGGAAACUGGUUGUAGAGCUGAAAUGCUCUGAGUGCAGAGGUUAUUUAAGAGUAGAUGCCCAUCUGCCAGCUGAUUGAAUCAGAAAACGCAUUGAUCCGGGAUCCUAAACAACUGCUGUGCUGUCCUGCAUGACCUGUGGAUGCUAGCCAGUCUUCUGCUCUCUGUCAACAGAAUGUUUGAUGACUCAACCAUUUAACAGCACUGGACCAGAUAAUCAUCUGGAUGUUGUAAUAUCCUUGCUUGCUUUUGAGGUCUACCCCAAUGUCUGCUAUCACAAGGAGAAAAGGAAAAUUCGUACUGCUGAGGGGCAUUACGUGCUCAGCCACACAUCACCUGUCAGCAGACAGGACAGGAAGUGUCGGCCACCUUUCUUCAUGGUUGGACAAUCUUGGUUUGAUGCUUGGGAUUUCCACAGGUAUAAUUCAGAACUGUGGUGAGGCUUCACUUCUGCCCCAGCUUAGCCAGAACUUCAGUUUGCUUCUGUCGUCUGUGUAAAGUGAGCCUUCUAAAUAGGCCACAAGACUUUUGAACUCAAAAUACUAUGCUUUGUUAAAUCCAAGUACACAUGGAAUCUAAAAGCAAUUAAGCUGUUGGCUUAAGAGUGACUAGGUAAGACUGGGGUGAAGGAAUGAUUUAUUCGCAGCUCUCUUACUACCCACUGCAUACAGAGAGCUCCUCUUUGAGGCUUGAAUGUCUUGUUUUCUGCUAUAUUUGGCAGUCUCUGAUCUGCAAGUUCAUUGCUGUUUGUUAUGGCCAUUCUGCUGUGAUUUCCAUUCUGGAAGCUUCUCUCUUCUGAGCAUGCAGCUUCUAGCAUAGGAUCAAAUCUCUUUCCUGAAGACAAAAGUAAUAGAUUGUGCCCCCCACGCUGAUGUGUGAAAGGAGGAGGGAGGCUGCAAACCCUAAAUACUACUCUUCAUGUCCUCUUUAAAAUGAAUGGCAGCAGCCCACGCAGCCAGCGCUGCUGUCUGUGGCUCAGUUGGAUGGCUUGUUAUUGUCAGAGUGCUCAUUUCAAGUCCAAACUUAAGGCCUUGUUUCUACAAAAUGGCAAAGUGGGCAUCUUUGCAUGGACAUGUGGCAGCAUUCAGAUGUGCACAUGUGAGACCCUCUUAUCAUCACUGCCCCAGCAAUGCCAGAGGCGGGAAGAUAACUCAGCACUGUCUCGGUCCUUUUUAGACUGACAAAAGAUGAGAUGGCUGUUGCAAAAUGUCAGCUGCUUUCACCUUUCAUAACUGUUUAUACCUUUUAACAGCGAGUAGCUUUGAGCAGCUUUUUCUGUUUGCACUAAUCAGUGCUGAAUCCCUGUAAACAGCUGCCUGGUGUUUCAAUUUGUUUGCAUGCACAUCAUAUCUAGAUUUUGGUGUGUGCUUUCUCGUUUAGUUUUUGCUUUCCUACAUAGCAUACAUCUUAUGAAAGACAUCUGAAUGUCUCUUUUAAAAAUAUUUUUUAUUUCCUAAUUAUUUUUAAUUUCCCAAAAUGAAGGUGAAGAGUUGCUGGAGUUCAGUUCACUGCUAUGCUGAGGGCAGCCUGUAGUUUCUGAAAUGCUGAGGUGCUGCAUGCUUUUCGUUUACACCGUUUUGUAUCUUGCUGUUUUGACACGAAGGAUUAAGUGUUAGUGUUACCUAAGUAUGCUAAAUCUGCAAAUCUAAGCAGGAGGAUAGCUGAUGUUUUAACAAUAUCAUGUUGUAGGGAGCUGGCAAAUUUGCCUCCUGAAUUUCACGUCCCUUUCGUAACAAAUCUAAAAGAUGAGAAUGUAGAGUACUGGAUCAGUAUGUUCUGCACACGAUGGAAGACCAAUCGCUGGAGUGUCUUCCAUAACAGGUUAUCUCCUGGAAGCUGCGAUACAUCUGAUGUCAUUCUUUCUGCUCUAGGAUCAAACUGAGAGUGCCCCGCAUUGGCUGCCUGUGUGUGCUGUGACGGAGAUGUUCACUGUGGAAGCAGCUAAAAACCUGGAGAUCAUUUGGCAGCUGGACCCAGCAGAUGAGCAAAUGUGGCACGUGAUCUAUCAGAUCCCCAGGCCGCCAGCAGCGGGCAUCAACCUCAUGGCUACUAAUGGAAGUGCCACGUACAGUGCUGAUGUUGACACUCUUUUGAGAAACAGAAGAAAAAUCACAACAGGAGACUUUGAGGGGAGAGGCCCCACUUACUGUAGAGGCCAUUAUGGACUGAUUUUGUGCUGAAUUAAGCCUUGACUAAGGAUCACUGGUGAGGACUGCGUUAGAGCUGCAGUUCAUAAAGAUGGACAUAAAUUAUAACAGACUGCAGUGGUAAGAUCUAAUCAUAAGGUCUCCAUUAACUGGGGUGUAAGAUGAUAGCCAUGUAUUCUCCCAGGAAAAUGAUCUUGUGGCCUCGCUCAAGUUACCAAGUUGCUGAGGUAGAGAACCCACAGGAAAAUCUCUCAGCUAUAUGGAAAAAAAUGAGCACCACUUCAUAGAUCUGAGCAUACAAAAAAAAGAAAAAUAAAAAAUAAAUUAAAUUUUCAUAUUUCAGCACAAUUUAAAAAUUGCCUGCACCAUCGUUUUCCUUAGCUGUUUGCAAAGGCUACUAACUCUUUCCAGAUUCCAGGACUGCAUUUUGGAAAAGGAAUUCCAAGUUUUCCUCCCACUCUGAAAAACAAUGACAACAAAAAAACAUUCAUAAAGGCUAUGCUGGAACACAGAUGAAGAAUUGCAGUUUUUCCCAAGAACAACUGAGCUCCUGACCCAUAGUCAGUGGCUGCUGUGUAAUUACCCAUCAUUCCUCUUUCCUUUUCCUAAAGGAAUUGAUUACUCAGUGUAGACAACUUUUGUGGUUUUUUUUGUUUUGGCAGUGGGGUAAGGAGAGUAAGAGUUGUCCCAACUGCGUCAGCACUCUUUCCAAUGACAGAAAUUGAAAGACACACACUGCAAGAAGGAAAUUCUCAGCCAUCAUGAGCUUAAAGAAUAACUACAUAUUUGGUCACGUAGCUCCAUGCCAACCAGUGCUGUGAGGGUAGUUGUUGCCCCCAAAUUCCCAGCUAGGGAUGGAGAACAAAAAGCUGAAAGUCCAAUACUGCCUAUGUAAAAAGAAUACACAGUAGUACAUAGGAGUUUAAGGAGGCUUCAACAGAAGAGUAAAAGAUAACAAUAAUGGAAAUGCUAAGUCAUGGCAUGAAGCAGUGAUGGAGCACCUGGUGGGAAGGCAGGGCCAACCCAAGGGAGCUCAGGUGUAUGCAAUGAACCUGAGUGACCAGAAGGGAUGGAGCCAGGAUCCACCCCUUUUCUGACCUCAUUUAAGGGUUGGCAGUGGAGACAGGGGUAUCUUGCUGGAGAUCGCUAUCUAACUGAGGCCUUCUGAAGAUAAUGCUGGAAAUAUAGAUGUGAUAACAAGCUUCUCCCUUUCCAUCACAUCUAUCAAGAGGCCACGAUGCUGUAAGGCAUUGUUACCCCAACAGCGGAUGUGCAGUUCACCUACAGCCUCUGAGGUUACUGCAGAUACAUGACAGGGUGGGUCUAUUGUAGCAGUAUUUAGUUACACAUGUAUGUAUUUUUACGUAGAAGCUCUCCUCCAUUCAGUGCACUAAGAAAUCAUAGAAUCACUAAGGUUGGAAAAGACCUACAAGAUCACCCAGUCUAACCAUCCACCUAUGACUGAUGAUGUUCCUGAAGACAUCUUCUACUUGUAAUUUAUAGUUAUCCUCCUCCUUUACCAGCUGGGAUUUGGGGCAGGAAAGAAUUUGAAGUUUUAAGAUCCUCCGAAGCCCAUAGUGUGGGAACUGUAUGAACACAACCUACUGAGCAUAAAACUGCUAGAAAAUCUCCCGACGCUUUCCACCACAUCAUACUUUCCACCACAAAAUUAUCAGUAUUGAUUUUAUUUAUUUUUUUUUAUAGCCUUUGAGUGACUCAGGAAUCUGGCAGUGUCCGAAGUGUGAGCUUUGCUCAUGCAUCUGUAGUGGGUGGAAGGGCAGAGUUAAGAGACUUCUAGUCCUGUAGAAAAAUUCUCUGGAAACAAACUUAAGGAACUGGGUUGGAAGAAAGAGCUCAUCAUUACCACGUGCUGAUCAGACCUCCAAAAUCUCAGGACAGCCAUAUAUAAAAGUUAGAAUUAAAACGUAUGUUAUCUAUUAAUACAGGAAUACUUUAUGAUAAGAAGCAAACGUGUGUUUUUACUUUUCCAUGCCAUAUACCAAAUGGGACACGUUGCCCAACAAAAUUCUGCUCUCCCUGUUAAAAUACAAAUUUCUAGCCAUAUCAAGUCGUAAUGAAGGGAUUUAUGUGCUUAUUUUCAUGAGGAGAAAAGAUUUUUCCCCUGACGUUGUCAGAUGUCCCAUGUGCUUUCAGACAUUAGAUUUAAUCCAGUUUCACACGUGAAAUGUACAUACUGUACACUGUGCUAUGUGUAAGGCAUCUGCAUGUUAGCUGGUGGAUACAUGAUGAAAGCUGCAGUUUCAAAGUAGUUAACAGCUUCUAAGCAACCUGGAAAAUGACCUCCAGAUUUCUCAUAAAAAAAAAAAAAAAAAAAAAAAACACAUUUUUAAUUUUUUUCUUUUUCAUUGAAUAAUUUGGCUUUAAUUCUUAAUUCUAAAGUGAUGACAUGGAAUGUUUGUCCCACAUGCACCUCUGUGGCGGCAUAAUGCUGCUGGAGGUGGGAACCUGUAAAACACUGUUAAAACACCAAUGGAAGCAGAAGAGUUGGGCUGCUAAACUUGUGACUGGAAAACCAAUCGCAGCAGUGAAUCCAGUCUGAUUCUCUUACAAGGAGAAGACAAAGCAGGAGACUUCCAGGUGGUCUCUGACUCUGGUGCAAAUUAGUUUAUUAGGUAACUGUAAUCUGGUAUAAUGGUGUUGUCCUCAUCAGCAACAAACACAAAAAACCCACCCUGCUUGAAUUUUGUGUAUGAAAGGCAAAAGCUUUUUUUUCAAGACAUGGGUUUUCAAGCCUUUUUCAAGUCCCAUUUGAACAACCAGUACCACCACAGCUACAGCAAUCCCAAAUAAAUCAACUCUGCCUUCCUCGUUCUCCAGUUUGUAACCUGAAUCUCAAGGAGCCAGGACAGCUUCAGACAGCUCACUGAUGCGCGCGCACACACACACACACCCUUUCCCCAACUCCCCCCCAAAACCAUUCGGGUCAGUUGAGACAACAGAUGAGCGGUAGCACCGGUGUUUAUUGUAUGACCUUUUACAGCUGCCAUAAAAUGGCUCAUCCUCCUCCCCCAGGGCUGAUGCAGACAUUUAGUUUGGCGAGUGGUGCUGGCAGGCUGCUUGCAUGAGUAGCCAGAAGCUCUGCAAUAGUUUUGGACCAGAGCGUGACUUAGAUCAUAACUGCAUAAAGCAAUAGUCUACCAUGAAGGAACAGGAAGAGAAGAAAGGGAAAAUAACACUGCACAUCAUCUGUAGCAGCCAGUGUUCUUGCAUGGGUGUGCACUUGAGCAUGCCAGCCUGUGCUAACAGAAGCUGGAUGGCUCUAUCAUGCUGGUAGAGAAUGGGUAAGUGUGAUGGAACAGCCAGUGGGUUAUGCUUUGUGGCCAGAAAAGCACAGGCCAAAAGCAGACAGCAGUGCAGUGUCAGAAUCAUUAUCUGCAUCCUGCACAGAUCCUUCCCACAGCUGAGAGAACAGUGCCCGUCAAAGAGCUACUACAGGACUUCCAACUUGGUCAGGCAGUGCCUUUGGGAGGCAGCCAGUCCUGUGAGCACCUCCAUGUGACACCCCUGUGCUGGGAAGCAGCACGGCACUGAGCCAGUUGCCACAGAGGCUGGCAUCUUGUAAUCUGUAUUCGAAGAGUGAGGCAUAAGAAGUGAAGCAGACAGCUUCCCUGCAGCAAGAACUCAAGAGAAACUUGUGGAAUCGUCAUUCAUCAUUUUAUGUCAGGCUGAACAAUUUCUUCAUUGAGUUAAGUGCUACUUGUACGCUGGAACCUGAAUAAAUUGGCAACGCCAACUGCAUGAUGUGUGGAGAACAACGCAAUGGGAGAACAUCUGCUGUCCCAACAGUGACCUGGAAGGAAAUCUGACAAUGUUGUUACGCUGAGGCUUGGCCAUGCAGCUUCCAGUGACUGAAUAGCUGUUAUUGCCCCUUGUCCUGAAAGAUGGAAUUUGUGAAAACUGGGGGCUCCUGUAUUGGAGAUGAAUACUAGAAGAAGCUUUCAAGCCUCUAUGAUGGAAACCUUCUGCAGCUUGGUCCUUUGUGACUGACAGUCUGAGAUCCAGGCAGGGCAAGAAAAGUAAACCAAAGCAACUUCAAUGAUUCUCUCAGAUUAGCACAAGCUAAAAAGAACUCUCAGCCAUUAACUGGAGGCUUACUGCACUUUGAGGUACUGCGUGCAGAAUUAGAUUUAUAUUUGCUUAAAUGAACUGGAAGUCCCAUGGAGGGAUCAUAGAAUCACAGAAUCACCAAGGUUGGAAAAGACCUCUGAGAGCAUCCAGUCCAACUGUCUGUCUACCUCCAGUAUUUCCCACUAAACCAUGUCUGUCAGUACAACAGUUCUAAACGUUUCUUGAAUACUUCCAGGGACAGCAACUCCAACACCUCCCUGGGCAGCCCAUUCCAGCACCUGACCACCCUCUUGGAGAAGAAUUUUUUCCUAAAGUCCAACCCAAAUCUCCCCUGGUACAACUUGAGGCCAUUAACGAUUCUGACUAAGUUAAAAUCAUUCCAUCCAAUUCAACCGCUGUGCAACCAGCUUCAUUGUAAGAAGAAAGACAAACGAGCAUAUAGAGUUAAUCAAAAAGUAUACAGAGUUAAUCAAAGUCUGGUGGUGACUGAUAAAGCAGCAACAUCCGGUAAGGUGCACUUCCCUAAUAAUGUGCACCACCCAGGGACACGUAAUGGUUUAAAAUAUGUGAAAAUGCAGAAGUGAAAACCAUCUAUAAAAUGUCAGACACAAUUUUUGAGCUCUGAGAGCUGCGCUGAAGCGUUGAUGACAACGGUAUGUUAGGUAUGUAUCACAACAUAAAGAUGUUUAUGUUCCGGAGUGUUUUGUUUUCUUAACCUUUGAAGUUCAGCAGUUCGGGUGGCAAAGCCUUGGUAGCCACAAGGCCGUGGUUGAAAAGGAGUGUGAAAAGUAUUUAGAGAACUCAAAGCCAAAAAUGGGACCAACAAAAAAGUACAUUUCUGGUUAAACAAGCACUGGGCAGUGACAAUGAGGUGCUAUUUUAAGGAGUAUUCUGUGAUUUAAAACAACACAGAAAAUAGCUUCUAAGAAGCACGUUCUGGUAUCUCAAUCUAAAAUGUCGUUUCAAUGCUAAUUGAAAUUUAACAGUCUUUAACCAACAGGAAUCUGGGAUGAAACUUUGCCAGAAGAUAGAAGCAGGGGAGACUGACGUUAUCAUCACACGAACUUGUAGCCUAUGCUCUGUGCCUUCUCCCUGCCACAAACAAUUAUAAUUUUUUUUAAAAAUAUUUAAACACGAUAAAUCUUGAUUUUUAACUUCUUGCAGUGAUUUUAAAAUGACUUGCUAAUAGCUGAGGGUAAUUAACGCACCUGAAAGGAAUUAUUAGAUAAAUAUUGUAGUUGAUCUACUUAAGUACUUCUAAUUGAAUUAAAUGCUCUGACAUAAUAAUUUUAUUGAGCUCCAAAAUGAAAGACAUGAAUAACAGCUGAAGGGAGUACAAAUUUCCUAUUUAGAGACCUACCAAGAGGACACGAUGUACAGGAUGAACCAUCUCUUAGCAAUCACUGCUUUUUUCUGAACAACUGGCUGUCCCUUUCUGAUAUUUCCUGCUGAACUGAGUAGCAGAGAUGAAAACGUGGGCAGAAUGUUGAGGUUUCCAGCAAGCGAAAUGCAUUUACAACUUGUGGGGUUCUCUCAUGAGGUUCCAACACCCUGCUUUAUGGUUUUAUUUUUUCAGAAUAAAUUUUUUGUCCCUGAGAAAUCACUAUGACUUAGAGUCAUAGAAUCACCAAGAUUGGAAAAGAGUCACAAGGCCACCCAGUGCAAAUUCCAGUCUUCUUGCAGACCAGAGAAUGGUUGUGCACAUUUCCUCUAAGGAUUGCAAGAUGUAAGACCUAGCACUUCAAAGAAACGUGACUUGCCCUCUUUAGCUGAAGAUUUGGGAGAGUAAACACAGCCCUGCUCCAGCCUCCACAUGCAGUAUCUUCUUUCCCACCAGACCCUCCUGGGUCUUUGGGGAUAUUCUCUUGACUCAGAUGAGGAAAGGAAGGGUGAGAAACCAGAGUGCCGGCUUUUCUCCCAGCUUUUUGCAGCAGGAACUGUGGGUGCUCUUCAGAAGCUGUGCAGACUUAUCACUUUGUUUAUCUAGCAGCAAUAGAAGGUUUAGUCAUUGUACAAAAUAUGGGAGAGUCGUAAAUCCUGGCAGUCCAGAGUGAGAGAAAGGGAAAACAGGAAAUACAAAGCAAUAUUACUCAGUAAUGGUACUGUGUUAUCCCGCCAAGAUUGUCCAUGUUUGAUAGAGGGAUGAUCUUGUUGUCAAAAAAAAAAAAAGCUUUUAGUGUUCCUGCAAACAUCUACCUUGAGAUGGCUGCGUGACAAACCUCUUGCAUUUGUGGUUCAUUUAUGCUUUGUAGCUUUGCAGGGACCUUGUGGGGUUUAAUAGCUGUAAGUUCAGAAGAUUGUGCUCAUUCCAAGUAUUUUUGUUUUGCUCCUUGGCUACGAGGGCUGCACAGAUUUUCCCCGAAUUGCUUUGUGUAAUUAUUGAGUCUUUUACGGCAGCAUUUUUUAAGUGCAGGGAAUGUGUCUUCUGUCCUCUUAGCUGGUCCUUGUCUGGCAGCACAGGGGAGAACACAGUGAGCUGGGGAGCGCUGAGAGCAGAGAUGAUACGUGCUGAUAGACAGCAAGAACAGAUGUAGGUAAGAACCCCAAAAGCAGCUCUGUGGGGUCAAACUCCUUGCAGCUCCUUGCCAUUCACUGUGUACUCAGCUCUGCUUCAAUUCAUUUGGAGCUUCAGAGGGAGAACAAGCAAUUGGGAUGAUCUGUGACUAUCCAGAUCCCAAAAUUACAUGCUGCUCUUACCACUGUCCAGUGGGACACCCAGAUUUGGCUCUUCUGGCAUGACAAAUUAAAUGCACAAAUCUAACUGCAGCUUGCUAAUCAUGACAAGCUAUUUAUUUAGCAGGAGACACACAAGCUCUGCUCAUCCAAAAUCAGUCAUCUGAAAGAUCAGCCUCCCCAGUGGACCGUGCCCUCCAUUGGUCUGACCUUGGCUGUUUGGGAAUCAUGGAUUUCUGGGAUGAGGCUUCACAAUGUUUGGUUUGGAGGAGCACUGGAACUGUGCUUAAAAAACAUGAAGCUUACAAUGGCAAGCUAUUAAAAGAUGAGUUGAAUUAGGGUUGGUGUCAGCGUCCAUCUUCUGUGACCAAAGGAAGGACAACAAAAUAACUUUAUACUAUUAAUAAAACAAUGAUCAUGAGAAGACCCAGACUGGCAGACAGCACUAUGAAAAAAAAGCACAAAAAAACAGGUUGUGACUAUAAACAACAGAUAAGAACCAACUGGGAAGAAAACGUCAGCCUAGAGCCACUGGCAAAAGUACUUAUCCAGCUGUGUAUUGCAAAAAAUCUUGGGAAUUUUGCUGGGAGCUCAGGAAGGAUGUUUGUUAAACAACUUUUCUGUGGUCACACAGAACAUCCUUCAUGGUGAGAUACCCAGGACCAGCCCCAGAACUCAGGCUGUGUGCUGGGAUAGUGCUUUAUCAGGCUUGGAAGAUAAUUCUAGAGGGAACGUUUUACAGUCAGGGUAAGCAGCUCCAGCUCAUGCCUGUGAAGGAUUUGCAUAGCUGGGCAAGUCUCUGCUCUUUGCAGUAUGCGGUGCUGGAAUUUCUUGGUGGCAGAGUUGACAUCAGUGGACCCAGUAGUGCAAAGACACUGAGCCUGAGGUUGUUCUUGGUGAAUAUGCAGCUACAUAUUAGAGAUGUAAUACCGUACAGAGAUAUGUUAACAGUGCCUUUGAUGCCCUUCCAUCCUUGCAGGCUUUGAGACUGUGUGAGCUACAAGGGAAGGAGCUUGAGGAACGCUUCAUCUCCAAGAAGUUCUCUGUGUGUUUCAAGGCUGAGUUCACCCAUCCACGCAUGCGCUUAUCCCAAGGCCAUGCUAUCAGUGGGCUUUACAGAGGCGGCAGCUCACUGUGGUGCAGGACAGGCAAGUGGAGGUCUCAGAGGAGGAAAGGAGCAUAGUAAGGGCUAUCUUGGAUCCUCCUGGGCUCUCUUCCGCUGCCUAACGUAGGCUGCAAAAGGUUGCUGCUUAAUUACAGCACAAGGCUACAGCACAGGUUAAAAAGAUGGGGUAAAAAUAAAAGGUAAACAUCCCACGUGCUGGGAAACAGAGAUUAUGAUCAGUGCCUCCACUAGACAGCCAUUAGGCAAAAGGAUGGGCUGUGUUAGAAGAGGAGAAGCUGCACAGUCCAUUCACGUUUCAGCUUUUUCAUGUUGGCACAUUUCUUUGCCACAUUACUGUCUUAAGAAGAGAGGAAGCAUUCCAGGCCUGCUCCAGAAAAGAGAUAACAAAAUCGCAGGGACUCGUAAGAAGCAGAUUUUACUUCCCAGAAGCAUGCUCAGAGGUGUAUUUACUCACCUUGCUGUAGCUGCUGCACAGGAUUAAUUGGGAUGAUCAGCAAAAGAGUGACUGGAAAGUCAGACGUAAAGAAAGCGCUUUUUGAAGCCAUUUCUGCUUUCACAGCUAUUGGUUUUCUAUUUGGUUUUCUUCAUAAGAUUGCUGUGACUGCUUUUCUUUGAUAGACAGAAACCUCACAGUUCUCUGAUGUAUUCUUGGCUUUUACAACUGCUGGACGAAGGUUGGACUGAAACCACAGCCAUUUACCAAAACAAUUCACAGGACUCCUCUACGCAGGAUGGCUUUAAACCAUAAUGGAAUAUAGAAUUGUGUUGCUUGUGCCCUUUUGGCGUUAGUUUUAAGUUCCACUUGUUGCAUUACCAGUCUGUGCCGUCCCCACAGAAAUAAAAGGUGAGGCGCUUUGGCUCUGC